AACGAACGCUGGCGGCAUGCCUAACACAUGCGAGUCGAACGAGACCUUCGGGUCUAGUGGCGCACGGGUGCGUAACGCGUGGGAACCUGCCCUUAGGUUCGGAAUAACUCCCCGAAAGGGGUGCUAAUACCGGAUAAUGUCUUCGGACCAAAGAUUUAUCGCCUUUGGAUGGGCCCGCGUUGGAUUAGCUAGUUGGUAGGGUAAAAGCCUACCAAGGCGACGAUCCAUAGCUGGUCUGAGAGGAUGAUCAGCCACACUGGGACUGAGACACGGCCCAGACUCCUACGGGAGGCAGCAGUGGGGAAUAGUGGACAAUGGGCGAAAGCCUGAUCCAGCAAUGCCGCGUGAGUGAUGAAGGCCUUAGGGUUGUAAAGCUCUUUUACCCGGGAUGAUAAUGACAGUACCGGGAGAAUAAGCUCCGGCUAACUCCGUG
rnacentral:rRNA from 1 species